rnacentral:rRNA from 1 species
CAGUAGCCGCGGUAAUACGUAUGUCACGAGCGUUAUCCGGAUUUAUUGGGCGUAAAGCGCGUCUAGGUGGUUAUAUAAGUCCGAUGUGAAAAUGCAGGGCUCAACUCUGUAUUGCGUUGGAAACUGUAUAACUAGAGUACUGGAGAGGUAAGCGGAACUACAAGUGUAGAGGUGAAAUUCGUAGAUAUUUGUAGGAAUGCCGAUGGGGAAGCCAGCUUACUGGACAGAUACUGACGCUGAAGCGCGAAAGCGUGGGUAGCAAACAGGAUUAGAUACCCGCGUAGUCCCUGUCUCUUAUACA